GGUUAAUAGAUACAUGUGGGUAUUGCUUCAACAAGGUUAGCAGGUUAAUAGAUACAUGUUGGUAUUGCUUCAACAAGGUUAGCAGGUUAAUAGAUACAUGUGGGUAUUGCUUCAACAAGGUUAGCAGGUUAAUAGAUACAUGUUGGUAUUGCUUCAACAAGGUUAGCAGGUUAAUAGAUACAUGUGGGUAUUGCUUCAACAAGGUUAGCAGGUUAAUAGAUACAUGUUGGUAUUGCUUCAACAAGGUUAGCAGGUUAAUAGAUACAUGUGGGUAUUGCUUCAACAAGGUUAGCAGGUUAAUAGAUACAUGUUGGUAUUGCUUCAACAAGGUUAGCAGGUUAAUAGAUACAUGUGGGUAUUGCUUCAACAAGGUUAGCAGGUUAAUAGAUACAUGUGGGUAUUGCUUCAACAAGGUUAGCAGGUUAAUAGAUACAUGUUGGUAUUGCUUCAACAAGGUUAGCAG